rnacentral:rRNA from 1 species
GAUGAACGCUGGCGGCGUGCUUAACACAUGCAAGUCGAACGAACCUUCGGGUUAGUGGCGGACGGGUGAGUAACGCGUGAGAAUCUGCCCUCAGGAGGGGGAUAACGGCUGGAAACGGCCGCUAAUACCCCAUAUGCCGCGAGGUGAAACGAGUUUUCGCCUGAGGAUGAGCUCGCGUCUGAUUAGCUAGUUGGUGGGGUAAAGGCCUACCAAGGCGACGAUCAGUAGCUGGUCUGAAAGGAUGAUCAGCCACACUGGGACUGAGACACGGCCCAGACUCCUACGGGAGGCAGCAGUGGGGAAUUUUCCGCAAUGGGCGAAAGCCUGACGGAGCACCGCCGCGUGAGGGA